rnacentral:rRNA from 1 species
AAUAGAUACCUAGGUAGUCCACGCCGUAAACGAUGAGUGCUAAGUGUUAGGGGGUUUCCGCCCCUUAGUGCUGCAGCUAACGCAUUAAGCACUCCGCCUGGGGAGUACGGUCGCAAGACUGAAACUCAAAGGAAUUGACGGGGGCCCGCACAAGCGGUGGAGCAUGUGGUUUAAUUCGAAGCAACGCGAAGAACCUUACCAGGUCUUGACAUCCCGUUGACCACUGUAGAGAUAUAGUUUCCCCUUCGGGGGCAACGGUGACAGGUGGUGCAUGGUUGUCGUCAGCUCGUGUCGUGAGAUGUUGGGUUAAGUCCCGCAACGAGCGCAACCCUUGAUCUUAGUUGCCAUCAUUUAGUUGGGCACUCUAAGGUGACUGCCGGUGACAAACCGGAGGAAGGUGGGGAUGACGUCAAAUCAUCAUGCCCCUUAUGACCUGGGCUACACACGUGCUACAAUGGACGAUACAAACGGUUGCCAACUCGCGAGAGGGAGCUAAUCCGAUAAAGUCGUUCUCAGUUCGGAUUGUAGG